GGGAUGCUAAAAAGCAACCAGCAGCUAGUGGACAUUAUUGAGAAAGUGAAACCUGAGAUCCGGCUGCUGAUUGAGAAAUGCAAUAUGGUCAAAAUGUGGGUACAGCUCUUGAUUCCCAGGAUAGAAGAUGGGAACAACUUCGGGGUCUCCAUUCAGGAGGAGACAGUUGCAGAACUAAGAACUGUUGAGAGUGAAGCUGCAUCUUAUCUGGACCAGAUUUCUAGAUACUAUAUUACAAGAGCCAAAUUGGUUUCUAAAAUAGCUAAAUAUCCCCGUGUGGAGGACUAUCGCCGCCCUGUGACAGAGAUUGAUGAGAAAGAAUAUGUCAGCCUUCGACUCAUCAUAUCAGACCUAAGGAAUCAAUAUGUCACUCUACAUGACAUGAUCCUGAAAAAUAUCGAGAAGAUCAAACGGCCCCGGAGCAGCUAUGGGUCCGUGCACGGGCUCGUGGGAGUGGGGACGCCCUGGCCCGUGCGGGACGCUGCGGGGCCUCCCCACCAGUACCUAGCUCCAGCUGAAACCUCUCCGCCUGUCCUGCAGGAGGGCCACCCGGAGGAGCCCGAGGCUGAGGAGCAAGUCCACGACCGGCAGCCCCAGCAGCCGGAAGAGUACUGA